GGAAUUUUGUCGAUGAACUGUACGUGUCCUAUUUGUUUAUAACUGGAGACCUGUUUGGCAACGAAAUUUUUAACGUCAUCCGAAUUAACGGUGCUACUUGAAAACCUUUUACUUUGAUCAAUUCUUUGGUGCGUCCUUCGAUGUAUAAAUAUCCUAGGUAAAAUUUCAAAUUGAUUCAUAUAAUAAUUAAUAUAUAAGAGAUAUAAGAUUAUAA